CAGACGGACGGCAGGUCCGCCCACUGACAAAUAAGGUUGUUUUCAUCUCUGGGAGAAGUGCUGUCUGGAGACGAAAACGGGGCAGGGUCUUCCUCCGUGGGACUGACCGGGAUGGCCUCUGAUGGAGGGACACCCACAGGUAAAUGUCCUUCCAGGCGGGCGGCGCCUGGGGAACCACCUCCCAGGGGAGAGAGCAGCGCCUCGCACAGGGAGGUCCGUGAGGGCUGCAGUCUGGCUCUCGUGGGGGGGCCGCAGGGUCUAAGUGAGGAGGGUGUGGUCCAGACGGCUCAGGGCUGGGAGGAUUGACGUGAACACACAAGGAAAACAGCCCUGCCGGGGCCAGGUGGUGUGCCGAGCUGUGAGGUUCGGUCCCCCCGUGUCCUGUCUCCCUCAGCGUGGGCAGGAGCGGCGACAAGGCUGGAAGAGUCCUUUGCACCCACGUGACAACGUGCUGGGAUGUCACUGUCUGCCGGUCGCCAUCACGGCCGGCCGUCGCGUGAAAGGGCCCUUGGAGGGGACCGCGGGGCUGCCCCCAGGCAACCAGCCGAGAAGAACAUGGACCUCAGUCCUGCAGCGUCCCCGGAAUGAGCGCGGGGGAGGACGCCGAGGGCCCAGAAGCCACGUAUCCGGGCGUGUGGGCCAUGGGAGCUGUGUGACGAGUCUCCCGUGCCACGCCGCUAACCUGCGGCCGUGCGCGGUACAGCACUGGACGGCAAGGCAGCGGGCUCCCGGCACAGAGCGGGGCCAGGGCCUACGGCAGCACGAGGCACAAGUUUCACAAGGAAAAGCAACUGGUGUCCAGCCUGGGACUGGCCGCUGGCCGCAGGGAUGGUGCGGGCAGACCCCAAGGCUGCUCGGGAGCUGCGUCCGCGUGUGAGCGACACAAGCUCUCCCGACGCCACGGCCAGCCUCUGCCGGUUCUGACCAGCUCCGGGGAGGGGCCGCUUGCAUGUGUGCUGGUCCCUCCCCCCGAGGCGCAGCGGUUUGCCACACGGUCACGUCUCACGCCACGAGGGAGGCAGUAGACUCGCACAGCCUGGGCGCGUCCCUCAGGAGAGCCGGUGACCCCGAGGAACAGACCGUGAGCUGCCUUCUCGUGAGGACCGUGGGCCGGGUGGCCCGCCAAGACGGGGCUGGGACAUCGUCCAGGCAUCGAGACACUGUGAUCUGAAAAUACAGACAAACUAUGGAAAUACAGAAACCUGGCUUCAGGGACCAGCCAACGCUUUCGUCCCGAGAAAAUGUCAAGCGACCGGGACCACAGAUUUUACUAGUCACGGUCGGCCCCCCCGAUCAGCGGUUUCCUGGCGUGGCAUCGUUAGUGGGGUGCUGUCCUCGCUCGGCUUCCUCGGUCCGUGGCGGCCCUGCCAACCAGCCGAUGAUGCGCAGAAGCCUAUUUAUUCUACGGUUUGUAAGCCUCGGGCUCCUGGGCCACGUCCGUACACGGCGUCUCCUGUCGUGCUGGGAUCGUUUCUGUACUGUCCUCACAGGCCAUCAGUUUUGAAGCCAGGAACCAAGAACCGAUGAUCUGGUCCUAGUGGAUUCCGCCUGCGGCGCCUCUGACUGUGGGGGUGACCUCCGCCUGCGAGAUCCCCACGUCCCCCCACAUCUCCAGCGAGCCGGGAAGGGACGCUCUGUCCUUGGGGACGGCUGGGCAGGCAGGCUGCGGAGCGGCCUCCGGGCCAGUGUCCCGAGAGGCCCCACGGAGCAUCGCUCCCGCACGCAGUGCGUGUCCGGGCGACUCGAGGACCUGGUUGCUUCCCGUGCCCAACCGAGGGCAAUAAAUCUGCCUUUAAAUGUGACACGGCCACCACCAUCCCGUCCCCCAGGACAGGCCGUGGGGCCACGCACGCGAGCCCUGUGCACAUCUCCGCUCUGCACUGGGUGUCGGGCUCUCCCGUGUGUCCGGCUGGGCUGGGUGGGCCGAUGGCGUCGUGCCCACGACGCGCGGUCCCUCGGCCAUCCUGAAGCCUUGACUUGACCACAGCGAUCUUCCUGGAGUGCUCUCAACAGGGACGCCGGCGCNGCCCGCCUCCCUCUGCAUUGCCCGCCGUGGGCUCCGCAGCCUGGGGGGCUCCCGUCACUGCGUGUGCCCAGCACCCCCACCUGCACCCACAGCCGGGGCCGCCGCUCACUCUGCUUCGUCCUGGGGACCUGGGACUGAGCGGAAUGUGUUCCCAGGCCGUCUGCUUUGAGCUUCGGUGGGGACCAGCCUGACACUGAAAGGCGAGGCCCCAAGCAACUGGUGCGGAGGGGCCCCGGAGCCCCGAUGUGGCCCCCGGGGACAGCGCGGCACGUGUCCCCGGCUGUGGUCAUAUGACAGCUUGUCCAAGGAGGCCGUUUCGCACGGCAUCGCCAGCCAAGAGUCCCUGAAACAGCCUGUCAUAAGCGGGCCCUCUUGAUCUUUCUUGCAGAAAAAUCCGUGUCGGAUUUGCAGUUGGCAGCAGGGAAGUAUGAGGAGAGCAGGAAGCAUCGCAGCUGACGGGGCGGCCGGCGCAUCCGAAGGUCAGAGAGCGGAGCCCGUCUUCAGCUGUAACGUACCUUCCAAGGAUUUGACCAACAAUCACUCUGAGAGCAAGAACCGAUGGCGAGCUUGGAGGGCACGAGAAACUGCCAGGGGCUUUCUGCUCACCUCACGGGGUCCUGAUUGUCACUGACGGGCAAGGGCACCAAAACACGCCUACCGUGCGGGUCCUACCCGUGGGCGUGAACAUGCGACGCUGCUCAAACGUAGCAAUAAUGAUGGCAUUCCU
rnacentral:lncRNA from 1 species